rnacentral:lncRNA from 1 species
CUCUGGAUCCUUGUCCUGUCUCCCCUUUACCUGGCUGAGGUUUAGGAAAACACUUUGAUGUAAAAUGCGUGGUACCAUGGACUCCCCAGGUGGACAUUCUGUUAUCAGGAGGAUUCAUGUGACAAAUAUUUUUAACAACAUCUACCAAAUUGUGAAGUAGAAAAUAUACACGACAGUUUUCUCCUCCUGGGACUUAAAAUAAGCUGAACAGACAGGACUUUCAACAGAAAGGGAAAAAAGACACCAUGGGACACACGCCAAAUUCCUGGUGAGUCCUGGGUACUCAGGAAAGGCUUCCUGGAGCAGAAGGUGAGACCUGGCAGGAGAGGGAGAGCUGUCACAUGUGAGCACAGUACCAGGUGGGGUGCCUGAGGCUGGGGUCCACACCCUCAAGAACUGAGUGUAGGUAGGUAACACCUGGGAGCCGGUCCAGCUAUACCACACCCUCACUGUGGUGAGAGCACAUAGGCAGGUGCUCAUCUGCCUGAAACCUGGGUGAAGCCCUCCGCUUCCUCCUCUCCUCACCCUCCCAGCCAGGAAAGGAGAUUCCAGGAUGCUCAUCAUGGUUCAGAAUGUUCCAGGCUCCUACCAGCAGCAGAAUGUGCCAAAGAAGACAAGCAGUGUGACAUGGCAGCGACAUUUUAGGAGAGUAACUCGCAAAAGUGGCUAGGCGUGGUGGGACCUGCCCAACGUCCUCACUCCAGGACCACUGAGGAGAAACUACUGAAAUCCAACGGGAAGAACAAUUAUACCAAAGGAACAUUUUAUGAUUAAGAUUCGCUCUCACCAAGUGCACCGGAUGUUAAGCAAACUCACUGAGGACAGACAGCACCUGCUCUGUCAUAAAGACGGGUCGAGCAUGGAUUCCAACCAUCCUGCUGGAGCCCAGGCCUCAAGAAACCCCAGAGGUCAUUACUGGUCUCUGUCCACCUGCCGGCUCCAGACUCCUCCGAGGGCACCGGACGAGCAAGGUCAGAGCAGAAAGUCUACGGAUUUCCGUCCUCUCCUCAUCCAGCGGCAGCACCCCCUCCUCCGCCCCGCAACUGUCUCGCAAGUGGGUCCCCGCGCUGGUCGCAGCCUAGUCUCGGGGGCUUCGGAAGGACGGGCCCGGCCCUGGGUCUUCCUCCCCGCGCUCCUCCCCUCCUCACCUUCUCGGGUCUGAAGCCGGCGGGCGGGGGGCGCAGUCCUGGACUACGCCAGUCCAUGCUGGUGGCUGCGCGUCUGUCCAGGUCCCGAUGGGGCGGGGGACCGAGGACCGCCCCCGGGGCGCCGGGUCAGUUCUCCGCACGAGGGUCGGGGACACUGAGGAUCGAUCGCGGCUGCGGCGAGGGGACCGAGGAACUGGCCGCCGCCCUUUCACCAGAUGCUGUUUGCAGAUGUGGCGGCGUCUGCAGACUUGAACCACAAGUAAAGUUCUCUGAGCCAGAGCUUGGCGCGGUGCCCUGACGGGCGGGGCGAGGGAAUCAGGACCCGCAGGCACUGCGCCAAGGCCGCCAGGCGAUGCGCCCGCGCUCGGGGACACUGUGGUCGCCAGGUGGGAUCCGUGCCGGGAACAGCCUUAGGGAGAAGGAGGGGACUCCGCCUGGGGGAGCAAGGAGAGGGCGUUCUCUGCACCACCAGGAAAUGCGGGUGACGCUCAAGUUCCUUCCUGCUGCAACUCCGAAGGAUGCGGUGACGCACAGAUUCCUCUCUGCUGCCAACUCCAGGGGACCUUGGAGACCGGGGUCUGGAGGAGGGGCAGACAAAGGACUCACAGAGCCACCUUCCCGUCCCCCCUGCCUUAUAUCCACUAUCUCUACCCCAACCAGGUGUGUCCACUCCCACUCUUCUGACACCCCCAGGCUUCCUCACCCUACCCCCUUCCCUACUCUGUCUCCGCCCAGUCUUCUUCAUACACAAACAUACACAUUCCUCCUCCAUGGGUGUUUUGGGACCCCCACUCCCAACCUUGUGCCUGCAAGGAGGAGUUUAUCCAUGCGCCCUUUGUAGGCUGGAGAGGCCAAAGAGAGUGUAAUUGUGUCUUUGGUCAGAGACUCCAGGCUGAGUCUCUGAGAAGCGGAAACUGAGGAGUUGAAACCAG